rnacentral:rRNA from 1 species
UGCAGAAUCCCGUGAACCAUCGAGUCUUUGAACGCAAGUUGCGCCCGAAUCCUUUUGGUCGAGGGCACGUCUGCCUGGGUGUCACGUACACAUGCCUCCCGCAAACCUUUCCCGCUUAUGUGGACAAAGGGGCUUGCGCGAGCAGAUAAUGGUAUCCCGUGCUCUUUCCGCGCGGCUUGCCCAAAAACAGAGAGCCGGCGAUGAAACGUCACGCCUAGUGGUGGUUAACGACGCCUAACGGCUGACCAGCUCGCGGCGUGACUAGUUAUCACCGGAAAUCUCAUACGACACCUUAGACGUCCUAUAAUGGGCGUGCUAUUGUCGCGACCCCAGGUCAGGCGGGACUACCCGCUGAAUUUAAGCAUAUCAAUAAGCGGAGGAAGAGAAACUUACAAGGAUUCCCUUAGUAACGGCGAGCGAACCGGGAAGAGCCCAGCUG